rnacentral:rRNA from 1 species
AAUGAACGCUGGCGGCAUGCCUAACACGUGCAAGUCGAACGAAGGCUUCGGCCUUAGUGGCGCACGGGUGCGUAACGCGUGGGAGUCUGCCCUUGGGUUCGGAAUAACAGUUAGAAAUGACUGCUAAUACCGGAUGAUGUCGUGAGACCAAAGAUUUAUCGCCCAAGGAUGAGCCCGCGUAGGAUUAGCUAGUUGGUGGGGUAAAGGCCCACCAAGGCGGCGAUCCUUAGCUGGUCUGAGAGGAUGAUCAGCCACACUGGGACUGAGACACGGCCCAGACUCCUACGGGAGGCAGCAGUGGGGAAUAUUGGACAAUGGGCGAAAGCCUGAUCCAGCAAUGCCGCGUGAGUGAUGAAGGCCUUAGGGUUGUAAAGCUCUUUUACCCGGGAUGAUAAUGACAGUACCGGGAGAAUAAGCUCCGGCUAACUUCGUGCCAGCCGCCGCCGUAACAC